CCGGCCCUCAGCUCAACUCUGAGAGGCUCUCCGCUCUCUGGAAUUUCAGUCCUUCAAUUCCCUUUACUUCUAAGCCCUUGGAUACUUUAAAAAACUGUUACCAGGGCUGAUUCCAGGCAGAAUUCUGAAUUCAGAAGACUACAUCUUCAUUUUCUCCCCUCGUGUGACCUGACACUUGUUCCUUGGUUAGAGACCACUGGGCUUUCCCCCUUUCUUCACUCCAUCUAUGUAUACAAAUGUUCAGGCCUGCUGACUCUCCCUAGCUGUGUGGCUCUCUUGAGAGACCUCUCCCCACUGAGACCUACAGGGGAAGCACAGCUGGAUGGGAAGUGAGCUGUGUGUCCCUGAAGAUGAUUGCCAUGG